rnacentral:rRNA from 1 species
UACGUAGGGUGCGAGCGUUAAUCGGAAUUACUGGGCGUAAAGCGUGCGCAGGCGGUUCGUUGUGUCGGCGGUGAAAGCCCCGGGCUUAACCUGGGAAUGGCCGUUGAAACUGGCGAACUGGAGUGUGGCAGAGGGGGGUGGAAUUCCGCGUGUAGCAGUGAAAUGCGUAGAGAUGCGGAGGAAGCACCGAUGGCGAAGGCAGCCCCCCUGGGCUAACACUGACGCCUCAGG